AUGAACGCUAGCGACAGGCCUAACACAUGCAAGUCGAGGGGCAGCACAAGGAAGCAAUCUGAGGUGGCGACCGGCGCACGGGUGAGUAACACGUAUGCAACCUGCCUGUAAGCGGGGAAUAACCCGUUGAAAGACGGACUAAUACCGCAUAAUACUAAAUUACUGCAUGGUAAUUUAUUUAAACAUUUAUGGCUUACAGAUGGGCAUGCGCAUGAUUAGCUAGUUGGAGAGGUAACGGCUCCCCAAGGCAACGAUCAUUAGGGGUUCUGAGAGGAAGGUCCCCCACACUGGUACUGAGACACGGACCAGACUCCUACGGGAGGCAGCAGUGAGGAAUAUUGGUCAAUGGACGAGAGUCUGAACCAGCCAAGUCGCGUGCAGGAAGAAUGUCCUAUGGAUUGUAAACUGCUUUUGCAGGGGAAUAAAGUGCAUCACGUGUGAUGUUUUGUAUGUACUCUGCGAAUAAGGAUCGGCUAACUCCGUGCCAGCAGCAGC
rnacentral:rRNA from 1 species